GGAGCUGAGACCAGUCGAAGAUACCAGCUGGCUGCAACUGUUUAUUAAAAACACAGCACUGUGCAAACACGAAAGUGGACGUAUACGGUGUGACGCCUGCCCGGUGCCGGAAGGUUAAUUGAUGGGGUUAUCCGUAAGGAGAAGCUCUUGAUCGAAGCCCCGGUAAACGGCGGCCGUAACUAUAACGGUCCUAAGGUAGCGAAAUUCCUUGUCGGGUAAGUUCCGACCUGCACGAAUGGCGUAAUGAUGGCCAGGCUGUCUCCACCCGAGACUCAGUGAAAUUGAACUCGCUGUGAAGAUGCAGUGUACCCGCGGCAAGACGGAAAGACCCCGUGAACCUUUACUAUAGCUUGACACUGAACAUUGAGCCUUGAUGUGUAGGAUAGGUGGGAGGCUUUGAAGCGUGGACGCCAGUCUGCGUGGAGCCAACCUUGAAAUACCACCCUUUAAUGUUUGAUGUUCUAACGUAGGCCCCUAAUCGGGGUUGCGGACAGUGUCUGGUGGGUAGUUUGACUGGGGCGGUCUCCUCCCAAAGAGUAACGGAGGAGCACGAAGGUUAGCUAAUCCUGGUCGGACAUCAGGAGGUUAGUGCAAUGGCAUAAGCUAGCUUGACUGCGAGCGUGACGGCGCGAGCAGGUGCGAAAGCAGGUCAUAGUGAUCCGGUGGUUCUGAAUGGAAGGGCCAUCGCUCAACGGAUAAAAGGUACUCCGGGGAUAACAGGCUGAUACCGCCCAAGAGUUCAUAUCGACGGCGGUGUUUGGCACCUCGAUGUCGGCUCAUCACAUCCUGGGGCUGAAGUAGGUCCCAAGGGUAUGGCUGUUCGCCAUUUAAAGUGGUACGCGAGCUGGGUUUAGAACGUCGUGAGACAGUUCGGUCCCUAUCUGCCGUGGGCGCUGGAGAAUUGAGGGGGGCUGCUCCUAGUACGAGAGGACCGGAGUGGACGCAUCACUGGUGUUCGGGUUGUCAUGCCAAUGGCACUGCCCGGUAGCUAAAUGCGGAAGAGAUAAGUGCUGAAAGCAUCUAAGCACGAAACUUGCCCCGAGAUGAGUUCUCCCUGAGACUUUAAGUCUCCUGAAGGAACGUUGAAGACGACGACGUUGAUAGGCCGGGUGUGUAAGCGCAGCGAUGCGUUGAGCUAACCGGUACUAAUGAACCGUGAGGCUUAACCUU
rnacentral:rRNA from 1 species